AUUGAACGCUGGCGGCAUGCCUUACACAUGCAAGUCGAACGGUAACGCGGGGCAACCUGGCGACGAGUGGCGAACGGGUGAGUAAUGCAUCGGAACGUGCCUGGUAGUGGGGGAUAACUGCUCGAAAGAGCAGCUAAUACCGCAUACGACCUGAGGGUGAAAGGGGGGGAUCGCAAGACCUCUCGCUAUCAGAGCGGCCGAUGUCGGAUUAGCUAGUUGGUGGGGUAAAGGCCCACCAAGGCAACGAUCCGUAGCUGGUCUGAGAGGACGACCAGCCACACUGGGACUGGGACACGGCCCAGACUCCUACGGGAGGCAGCAGUGGGGAAUUUUGGACAAUGGACGCAAGUCUGAUUCAGCCAUGCCGCGUGCGGGAAGAAGGCCUUCGGGUUGUAAACCGCUUUUGUCAGGGAAGAAAUCUUCUGGGUUAAUACCUCGGGAGGAUGACGGUACCUGAAGAAUAAGCACCGGCUAACUACGUGCCAGCAGCCGCCGUAAGAC
rnacentral:rRNA from 1 species